UCCCUUGGCAGCUUCCUGGCCACAGAGGUGAACCUUCUAGGAAGUGUCUUUCCAGUGGCUCUUACCUGAGGCUGAGGCUCCAGCUGGGACACCCUGUACACUUCUGCCCUUGUUCUCCGCUGCGUCUUCUGUGAUUGCUCCUGCUCAGGCUACACUGCACUGCAAAUAUGAGCAAAUGUGAGUCAGUGAAGAUUUGCUAGCUCACACAGAAGUCAGACAUUGGUUGUCCCAAGCCUUCCUUGGAAGAUGCUUUUCAAAACUGAUUUGUUCCAUAUCCACUUUGACUUGUGUAAAAGAAAAGCUAUACAGAGAGAGAGCUGAGCCAGGCAGAGCAGGCUGCUUGAGACGGAUUUUUUGCAGCACAGGAAUAAAUGAUUCUGUCAGUCUCAGGAUACAGAGUCUUGGGUACAAACUGUUGUCUUCAGAAAGACUUGGAUUUAUCUGUUUAUAGCAUGAGAAAGCUCAGCAGCAACUAAAGGAGCAGGGGCAAUACCAGAAAUAUCACGGACAAUAGCUGCUGCUAGCUGGAUGAUCUUCCUGCCAAUACCCAAACCUGAAAGGAGAUUUCCAAAAGCAGUUAGCUUCCAAAACUUCUCAGAAAGACUCAGUGGCCAGACUUGUGGGAGAAAACUGGAAAUUUAGACCAUUUACAUUGGACUAUAAAUGCGAUGCAAGCUUUUUGAGGAAAUCUGGCCCUUGCAUACCAGGUAUGUACGAAUUAGCAAGUAUUUGAAAUGUGGGCAAUGCCAGUGCUGAACCUGGCAAGUGAGGCUGCGGUGAUCCCAUCCUGCCAGCCAACCACAUAAAUACAAUUUGCCAGGCAGCCUGAGGCUCCAGGGAUGUACAGUGACCUGCCAAGUGGAUGAUUAGAGUUCUGCAGGCAGGGAAAUCAAAGAACAAGUUCAUCUCAGGCUUUUUUCUCACUCCUAGGGUUCAAACUGUUGAUACCUGACUUUCUUCAUGCUCUCAGUACAGAAUGAUAGAAUCAUUAGGGUUGGAAAAGACCACUGAGAUAAUCUAGUCCAACUUGUUGACCCAUCCCCACAAUGCCCACUAACCAUGUCCUUUAGUGCCAUAUCUUUGUGGUUCUUGAGCACCUGUAGUGACAGUGACUCCACCACCUCCUUGGGCAGCCUGUGCCAAUACCUCUCUACUCCUCCUGAGAAAGGAUGUUUCCUAAUAUCCAACCCGAACCUUCCCUAGUGCAGCUUAAGGCCAUUUUCUCUCAUCCUAUACAUAUAUAAAGAAGUUGUAA